CUCCAGCAGAGGGAGUGCAGAUAUGGGGAAAGCUGACCCCUGGAGUCAGCAGGCCCAGCCCUAGGAGGGGGCAGUCCCACAGCAGGCUCACACCCUGCCCUUCAGAGUUGCAGCAGCUAAUGCUGAUGCCAGGACCUUGUCCUGCCAGGAAGCCUCUGAUUAGGGCUGUGAACCAACUUCCUUUUCACAUCUGCAAGGACACUUGGAGGCAACUGCCCAAGGCCACUCUGAGGAGGGUUGAAUGUUCUUUAUUAAAAGGACUGAGGAUCAUGUGUGUUGGUGGGCCUUGGACUCUGCUCUAAGGGCAUGCACAGAUUACCACCACCUCUGUAAGAAGUAUAUAGAGACACAUGUUUGAAAUAUGCAUAAUGAGAUGUAGAACAAUGUCUCUCUUGGUUGUUGUGUUGUCCUAGCUCAAAUUUUGCAGUUUCUGCUGUCAUCACAGCUGGGAAUGAGAAAGGGAAGGGGCUCCAGUUGGUCUCCCUCUGCCUCUGGAGCACACGUGGAGGACAUGAGGCUUCCGCAGGAACAGCUCUGAAAGCUGAGUUCUCGGGUCCCUGUGAAGGAGGGAAGCUUGCCUGCCUUGGAGCGUGAAAAAGUCUUGCUGGACAGAAGUCUCACGGUUUAAAACUGGGAAGGGAGAGGAUUGAGAUCACACUAGAAUGCACAGAAAAUUCUUAAAACAAAAAAAUGAGAGAAACUUCAUCAGAA
rnacentral:lncRNA from 1 species